UAUUAAGAACAACUGUUUAUCUGAAACAAGUCUACAUAUAGGUCAUUGUUGUUUGCAAUAUGUAUACAUAUACUUAGUAUUAACAGUGCGUGAAACAAAAAAACAAGUAUAUAGUCAUUCUAAAGAAAUACUAGAUAUUUUUUUUUACCAAGCAAUCGAGUCCAACAAUGUCAGUGAUGACCUUCAUUGAAAGUAGACCAACUGUAAAAUUGGUAUAUAUAUUCGCCCUUGCCAACUUAGCCCUUGUUCAGCGGUCGUAUGCUAGUAAUGAUAGCGAGGCAACAUCAUCUUAUGAAAGUUGCCCGUAUGUUAAUUUUGAGUGGAAAAGACCUGUCCGGACAUCACGCAUGUAUGACGGGAAGGAUGGAGAAUGACGGGGAGGAGGUGACCUGUACAACACAAGUCAAAUUUAGACAAAAUAAACAGAGCAAGUUAUUGGUAAA